rnacentral:rRNA from 1 species
AGAGUUUGAUCUUGGCUCAGGAUGAACGCUAGCGACAGGCUUAACACAUGCAAGUCGAGGGGCAGCACAGGUAGCAAUACCGGGUGGCGACCGGCGCACGGGUGAGUAACGCGUAUGCAACUUACCUAUCAGAGGGGGAUAACCCGGCGAAAGUCGGACUAAUACCGCAUGAAGCAGGGGCCCCGCAUGGGGAUAUUUGCUAAAGAUUCAUCGCUGAUAGAUAGGCAUGCGUUCCAUUAGGCAGUUGGCGGGGUAACGGCCCACCAAACCGACGAUGGAUAGGGGUUCUGAGAGGAAGGUCCCCCACAUUGGUACUGAGACACGGACCAAACUCCUACGGGAGGCAGCAGUGAGGAAUAUUGGUCAAUGGCCGAGAGGCUGAACCAGCCAAGUCGCGUGAGGGAUGAAGGUUCUAUGGAUCGUAAACCUCUUUUAUAAGGGAAUAAAGUGCGGGACGUGUCCCGUUUUGUAUGUACCUUAUGAAUAAGGAUCGGCUAACUCCGUGCCAGCAGCCGCGGUAAUACGGAGGAUCCGAGCGUUAUCCGGAUUUAUUGGGUUUAAAGGGUGCGUAGGCGGCCUUUUAAGUCAGCGGUGAAAGUCUGUGGCUCAACCAUAGAAUUGCCGUUGAAACUGGGGGGCUUGAGUAUGUUUGAGGCAGGCGGAAUGCGUGGUGUAGCGGUGAAAUGCAUAGAUAUCACGCAGAACCCCGAUUGCGAAGGCAGCCUGCCAAGCCAUGACUGACGCUGAUGCACGAAAGCGUGGGGAUCAAACAGGAUUAGAUACCCUGGUAGUCCACGCAGUAAACGAUGAUCACUAGCUGUUUGCGAUACACUGUAAGCGGCACAGCGAAAGCGUUAAGUGAUCCACCUGGGGAGUACGCCGGCAACGGUGAAACUCAAAGGAAUUGACGGGGGCCCGCACAAGCGGAGGAACAUGUGGUUUAAUUCGAUGAUACGCGAGGAACCUUACCCGGGUUUGAACGCAUUCGGACCGAGGUGGAAACACCUUUUCUAGCAAUAGCCGUUUGCGAGGUGCUGCAUGGUUGUCGUCAGCUCGUGCCGUGAGGUGUCGGCUUAAGUGCCAUAACGAGCGCAACCCUCGCCACUAGUUACUAACAGGUAAAGAUGAGGACUCUGGUGGGACUGCCAGCGUAAGCUGCGAGGAAGGCGGGGAGGACGUCAAAUCAGCACGGCCCUUACAUCCGGGGCGACACACGUGUUACAAUGGCGUGGACAAAGGGAGGCCACCUGGUGACAGGGAGCGAAUCCCCAAACCACGUCUCAGUUCGGAUCGGAGUCUGCAACCCGACUCCGUGAAGCUGGAUUCGCUAGUAAUCGCGCAUCAGCCAUGGCGCGGUGAAU